GACGUAGGGUGCGAGCGUUGUCCGGAUUUACUGGGCGUAAAGGGCGCGUAGGCGGCCACCGCAAGUCGGUUGUGAAAUCUCCGGGCUUAACCCGGAAAGGUCAAUCGAUACUGCGGGGCUAGAGUGCAGAAGGGGCAACUGGAAUUCUCGGUGUAGCGGUGAAAUGCGUAGAUAUCGAGAGGAACACCUGCGGCGAAGGCGGGUUGCUGGGCUGACACUGACGCUGAAGCGCGAAAGCUAGGGGAGCGAACGGG
rnacentral:rRNA from 1 species